UCAGGGUUUGGUGCCACAACUCAGAUAUUAUUUGUCCCUGCCUCAGGAUCCUGUUUACCCCUACCAGUUUUGUAGACACUCUUGCAAAGAAACAAUGGAUAUCCACCCAAAAUGUGGUUCAGACUGGAAACUGAUCAUGCCACAGGAAGACCAAGAAGUUCAGUCGUUGUUACACAGGCUUUCUUGGCCUGGCCAAACCGGCCUCAGGGAGCAUCCCUGGGAGCCUUGCAGAGCAGCCUCAAAGACGGAGCACCAGGCCAUAAAAUCAUGAAGGAGGAAGACAACAUAAACAAACAAGAAACAAAACCAGGAGACCUGGGACCUUCCACUGCCUUAGCGCCUCCAUCCUUUCCUCUGUCUGGAUAUAGAAGUCGCAGAGUAAAUAUUGAAUGAACCCCUUCUCAGGUUCAUCAUUCAUUCAAUAAACAUGGCUGAUCAUUGCUUCA